GGGACACCUUCGUGGACAACCAGGGCCAGCCAUUCAGGCCCUGGCCUCACCUGGUAGAACACAUUGGAUCGGAAUCUCAGGAGCUGAAGGACAUUCUCAGGACAGGGAAACUGAAGGAGGGACUCAAUCUCUCUAAAAAAGUCGGGGGUCUUCUGGUGAACGACGCAUAAAACACUUUCUUCAAGAAAUGAAAACGCAUCACGUGCCGCCAUCCCCAUCUUGAUCCAAAGAAUCCAGUAAAAAGCAACAAAUAAGCUCAUAAGGAAUUUUUUAAAAAUCUGACUGAUUUACUUUUCAUUUAAAAUCUAUGAUAUGUUCUAAAUACACACCAGUAAUAUUGCAUUCAUUACUAUCAGAAUCAUUUUUAUAUUUAGAAAAUUGAUUAUUUACAUUGAUUUUAAAUCCAAAGCAAUAACAUGAAAGAUUAAAAAUCUUCCACACAAUGCUUUUUCCUCUGUAAGUGUUUCAUGAAGUCCAAAUAGUUCAAUAAACACCUGAAAAAGUGA